rnacentral:rRNA from 1 species
CCUACGGGAGGCAGCAGUGGGGAAUAUUGCACAAUGGGCGAAAGCCUGAUGCAGCCACGCCGCGUGAGCGAUGAAGGCCUUCUGGUCUGAAAGCUCUGUCCUCAAGGAAGAUAAUGACGGUACGUGAGGAGGAAGCCCCGUCUACCUACGUGCCAGCAGCCGCGGUAAUAGGUAGGGGGCUAGCGUUAUCCGGAAUUACUGGGCGUAAGGGGUGCGUAGGUGGUUUCUUAAGUCAGAGGUGAAAGGCUAGGGUCCAACCGUAGAAAGCCUUUGAAACUGGGGAACUUGAGUGUAUUAGAGGAGAGUGGAAUGCCUAGUGUAGCGGUGAAAUGCGUAGAUAUUAGGAGGAACACCAGUUGCGAAGGCGGCUCUCUGGACUGUAACUGACACUGAGGCACGAAAGCGUGGGGAGCAAACAGGAUUAGAUACCCCUGUAGUC